rfam:Trichuris muris Edinburgh genomic scaffold, scaffold109
GAGCUUGACUCAAGUCUGACUCUGUGAAGAGAUAUUGAAAGUGUAGCACAGGUUGGAGGAUCGCAAGGGCUGGCAGUGAAACACCACUACUUUGAUCGUUCCUUUUUUUAUUCGGUCAAGUGGAAGGAAGGAUUGACUACCGUGUGAUGACGCACGGUGAGUUGUCCAGGAUGAUCCGCUCUGAAGACAGUGUCAGGGUGGAGUUUGAGUGGGCCUUUACGUCUGUUAAAUGGUAACGCAGGUGUCCCAAGUUGACCUCAGCGAGGACAGAAACCUCAUCCAGGGUAAACAGAAAAAGCUCGAUUGAUUUUGAUUUCCAUAGCCUGUUGCAAUACUGUUUUUCUAAACUGACCACGUCUUGAAACUUUGAUAGAGUCAAUCAGUAAAGGUUUUC